rnacentral:rRNA from 1 species
AGCAGUUACUACGCCACCUGGUGGAUGACUAGGCUCGGUUGCCGAAGAAGGUCGUGCCAAGCAGCGAUAUGCUUCGGGGAGGCGCAUGGAGCCUUUGAUCCGAAGAUUGCCGAAUGGGACUUCUCGAACCCUAGUGGUUCAAUCCGAAAGGAUGGGGAACGCCCUGAAUUGAAACAUCUUAGUAAGGGCAGGAAAAGAAAUCAAAUGAGAUGAGGUUAGUAAAGGCGAUCGAACACCUCAUAGGGCAAUCCGAAUCUUCUGAUGAGAAUCAGUAGAAAUGUGGAGUGGUCUGUUUACAUCUUAACACUGUUAUCCGAAUUUCGUGUGGAACACCGGUGCCAUAGAGGGUGAUAGCCCCGUAGGAGACACCGUGAAAGAUGAUUUUCAGGACCCAAGAGUAGCGUGCAUUGGAUAUUGCGCGUGAAUACGGGAGGUACUAACUUCCAACCCUAAAUACAAACCGAGACCGAUAGCGCAAUAGUAGCGUGAGCGAAAGUUGUAAAGUAUCCCUGGCGGGAGAUUAAUAAGAUCCUGAAAUCAGGUGGUUACAGACUGGUAUGGCGUGCAAGGGAUUAAGCGGUUACACCGCCGCACCGACGUCAUGCCGUUCGAUUCGAAAAUUGAUCCGUGGAGUUCCUAUCAUUGGCGAGGUUAAGUACGCAGGUACGAAGCCGUAGGGAAACCGAUAGCCCGCAGCGCAAGCGAGGGGCAAGGUGUGCUCGCCUGAAGUCAAUGGUUGGAUACCCGAAGCCGGUCGAUCUAUGCCUGGGCAGGGUGAAGCCUUUCGGAAGAAGGGUGGAGGCCCGCACCAGUACUGAUGUGCAAAUCGUUUGGAUGACCUGGGUAUAGGGGCGAAAGACCAAUCUAGACCGGUAAUAGCUGGUUCCUCUCGAAACUGCUCGCAGGCAGACCUCAGCUGAGACGGGGCAUGCGGUAGAGCACUGAUUGCGUGUUUAGGAAGCGAAAGUUUUCGGCAUGCUGUCAAACUCCGAAUGUGUGUCCGUCGUAGAAGCUGGGCAGUGAGGGCAUCGGGGUAAGCUUGAUGUCCAUAAGGAAAACAAACCAGACCAAAGUUAAGGUCCCUAAGUAACAGCUAAGUGUUAAAGAACAAAUAGUGUUUGAAGGCAUAGACAGCUGGAAGGUUGGCUUAGAGGCAGCCAUCCUUUAAAGAGUUCGUAACAGAUCACCAGUCAAGUCUCUGAGCCUAGAAAAUGGACGGGACUAAGUUGUUCACCGAUACUUUGGGCCACCGAAAGGUGAUGCGGUAGAGAGGCGUCGUGCGCGGGUGGAAGUGGGGCCGUGAGGUCCUGUGGACCGCGUUCGAAUGAUAAUCAUGGAAAUAGUAGUAGCGUAGAUGGGUGAGAAUCCCAUCCGCCGGAGGGGCUAGGGUUCCUCGACGAUGUUCAUCAGUCGAGGGUUAGUCGGUCCUAAGGUUCCCCCUAACAGGAGGAAUCGAAAGGGAAGCAGGUUAAAAUUCCUGCACCAAUUCACAUUUUGUCCAUUUCCUGACACAUCGGGUCCAGUGGAACACUCUUGUCUGAGUGUUGCCUUCAGCAAUAAAUUUGUGGAGUACCGUAAUGGUGAGAAACAAACUAAGCUGUUGGGAGGCGAAGUAUUUCGCUUCUGCUCUAGCCUGGUGUCCGUGAAAAGGGAUCUGGAGUCGUGUGAGUUGUCCGUACCGAGAUCUGACACAGGUGCCCCUAGGUGAGUAGCCUAAGGCGUCGCGGCAGAAUCCGGGCGAGGGAAUUCGGCAAAUUAGCCCCGUACCUUUGGUAUAAGGGGUGCCAGCUCUGUAGAGAGCUGGUCGCAGUGACUAGGGAGCUCCGACUGUUUACUAAAAACACAGGUGGCUGCUAGUCCGUAAGGAUGAGUAUAGCCGCUGAAUCCUGCCCAGUGGCGGUAUCUGAAACCCGGUUACAACCGGACGAAGGACCGCUAAACGGCGGGGGUAACUAUGACCCUCUUAAGGUAGCGUAAUACCUUGUCGCUUAAUUGGCGACUUGCACGAACGGCCUAACGAGAGCUCUACUGUCCCCGCCCGGAGCCCGAUGAAAUUGACUUACUGGCGCACAGUCCAGUACGUCCCAGCCGCAAGCGAAGACCCCGUGGAGCUUUACUGCAACCUGCCGUUGUGGCACGAGUUGUUAUGUGUAGAGUAGCCGGGAGACAUUACACAGGUGCGAGCGCUAGCUCGUCGCCGAGUCACUGAUGAAACACCGUCCUUUUCGAUUCGUCCCACUCACCUCUUCGGAGGAACCCCGGUAGGCGGGCAGUUUGGGUGGGGCGCCACUCCCUCGAAAAUUUAACAA